ensembl:rRNA 5S_rRNA 5S ribosomal RNA
UCCAGGGGUACCAUAUCACCCUGCAACUCACAACUGGCAACUCACUAAAGCUAAGCAGGUGUGAGCCUGGUCAGUACCUGGAUGGGAGACCUCUUGGGAAAAACCAAGGUUGCUGCUGGAA